CGCGCUCUGCCGGAAGGCUCCGGCUUUCCCGGCAAACUUUUACUGGGACGCGGAGGCGGCCCGGGCAGCGUCUCUCGGUUACAGGUGGCGGCGGCUCCGGGUGCCGGUGCGGGCGGCACGAGCGGGGCGAAGCGGCGCGGCGUCGGGCGGGCCCUCAGGGCCGACCUCAGGCCUCGGGCGGCCCCCGGGCGCCGGGCGGCGCGGAGCCGGGCGGGAGGCGGCGGUGCUGCUGGCGGCGGAGCGGCGCGGAGCGGCCUGCCUCAUCCCCGGCGGGCCCGCGCGCCCCGGUGCCUCAUGAGUCACGGUGCCGGAGCCGCCGAGCACACGUGCGCGGCCCCGCGCGGCCGCCUCCGGCUUCGGGAGGGGAAGGAGGAGGCGGGGGGGGGGGGGAGGCGGCGGUGGAAGCGGCUCCGCGCAGCGCCCGCCUCGGGCCGGGCCGGGCCCAGCGCUGCCGUCCGGGCGGCGAACCGGGAGCGGCUCCGCGCCCUCCGCCCGGCCGCGCUGCCCGCGGGAACGAAGCGGGGCGCGCACCCCUCGCUCUGCCCCGCCAUCCCGGCACGGCGCCGCCGGGGGUUCCUUUCGAGGCGGCCCCGCGGGGUUCCCCUCCGCUCCGCGCCCACCGCGCCGCACGGGAGCGGUACCCGGCCCUGCGAGGAGCGGAACGGGGCUCCUCUGGAGACAUCUCCUCCAGUCGCGCAGAACCCAGACGGUGUUCAAGAGCCGUGGCGGGGCGGCUCUGCUGGAUGCGGCUCGAGCAACUUGCAGGACCACAGAUCGGGCAGGCACAACGGGAACGUGUCCCUUCGCACGAGGCUCAUCUUCACACCCCAGUGUCCGUCAACACAACCUGCCAAACCCCGCGCAGGGAUGUGGAGGCUGAAGGCAGCCCACGAGCACGGAGCGGCCCGCAGCACCGCGGCACACAGCCCGGUGCCACCGGCACGGCCCCGGGGCAGCAGUGCGCAGGGAGGGCCAGGGUGGCUCUGCAGAGUCCGAGCUGGAAGGGCGGCAGCAAUCGCCCAAGGUUUAAAGAAAGCGUGAGGAGCAGGAACCUUGUCUCUGAGGUGCAGAAAACAAGACGAAGGCCUUAAACUGCUCUAAGAGAGAAUCAGGCUGCACUUAGAGACAAAAGACAGCUGCCAAGGAUAGCAGGCCCAGGGCGAGGAGCGGCUCGGUACGCCGGGUCCUGCUCUGGGCCAGGGGAGCCGAGUGACCUCUGUGGCCCCUCUCCCAGGUCUGCCCCUGACCCCACCAGGGUUUGUGCUUUUGGGACUGUCCUCAUACACCGAGCAGCUGCUCCAGCCGAGGCGUACAGCACACCUCUGAUGGCCUCAAUUCGCAGUGUUUUUUGUCCUUUUCCAUAAAACAUUCACAGGUCUUUGAAAAUCAUGUUUUCCAGUUGCCUACUUUCUAUUUUGCUGUUUUAAUAAAAUCAGUGGCAGAAUUCUCUUUGCCUUUUGAUUUCCAAGCAGCAGUCACAUCUGAGCCAAACUUAUCCCCAAACCUCACAACUAUCUGCACCGAUUCCAGCUGUUUGCUUUAAGGUUUUAUAUUCUAUGGAACAUUGAUGCGCUGAUAAUAUGAAGUGCACUUGAAUGGAUACACGCAUACACCUUCCGAAACCUCACUGUCAGUUACACGUUUGUCCCUCAAACCUCACACUUCUGUUUUCUCCCAGAGGAGCCCCCCAGACAAGUGUCUCCGUAGGGAAGGCGCUGUGUGCCCACACCUCCCAUCCCCCAGGAGCACAGCUGUGGGGCAGCCAGCCCUAUCUGUGCCCCCGGGGCUGUGCUAUGCUGUGCUG
rnacentral:lncRNA from 1 species